rnacentral:rRNA from 1 species
GAUGAACGCUGGCGGCGUGCCUAAUACAUGCAAGUCGAGCGAACAGACGAGGAGCUUGCUCCUCUGACGUUAGCGGCGGACGGGUGAGUAACACGUGGAUACCCUACCUAUCAGACUGGUAUAACUUCGGAAAACCGGCGCUAAUCCCGUAGAAUAUAUUGAACCGCAUGGUUCAAUGGUGAAAGACGGUUUUGCUGUCACUUCUAGAUGGUUCCGGGCCGCAUUAGCUGGUUGGUAAGGUAAAGGCCUUCCAAGGCAACGAUGCGUAGCCGACCUGAGAGAGGGGUCGGCCGCCCUGGAACGGAGCCACGGUCCAGACUACUACGGGAGGCAGCAGUAGGGAAUCUUCGGCAAUGGGCGGAAGCCUGGCGGAGCAACGCCGCGUGAGUGAUGAAGGUCUUCGGAUCGUAAAACUCUGUUAUGAGGGAAGAACAAAUGUGGAAGUUACUAUGCACGUCUUGACGGUACCUAAUCAGAAAGCCACGGCUAACUACGUG